rnacentral:lncRNA from 10 species
GGGGAGAGAGCAUCAGAGUUGAGGUUCGGAAAUUUGGUUUGAAUUCCCAUUUUGCUGCUUAGUGUCUGUAUAAUCUUGGGCAAGUUUUUUAACUGUUAGGCCUGUUUGCUUAUCUGUAGGAAGAGAGUAACACAAGAACUUUACAAUAUGUCAUGUGAAUUGAAAGAGAGAACAUAGAAAUCAUAGCCAUGUGCCUGCAACACAGUGUGGGUAGUCUGUAAAUAUUUAGUCUGGCACUAGUGUGA